rnacentral:rRNA from 1 species
CGGGUGAGUAACACGUGGGUGAUCUGCCCUGCACUUCGGGAUAAGCCUGGGAAACUGGGUCUAAUACCGGAUAUGACCUUCGGCUGCAUGGCUGAGGGUGGAAAGGUUUACUGGUGCAGGAUGGGCCCGCGGCCUAUCAGCUUGUUGGUGGGGUAAUGGCCUACCAAGGCGACGACGGGUAGCCGACCUGAGAGGGUGACCGGCCACACUGGGACUGAGACACGGCCCAGACUCCUACGGGAGGCAGCAGUGGGGAAUAUUGCACAAUGGGCGAAAGCCUGAUGCAGCGACGCCGCGUGAGGGAUGACGGCCUUCGGGUUGUAAACCUCUUUCAGCAGGGACGAAGCGAAAGUGACGGUACCUGCAGAAGAAGCACCGGCCAACUACGUGCCAGCAGCCGCGGUAAUACGUAGGGUGCAAGCGUUGUCCGGAAUUACUGGGCGUAAAGAGCUCGUAGGCGGUUUGUCGCGUCGUCUGUGAAAACUCGAGGCUCAACCUCGAGCUUGCAGGCGAUACGGGCAGACUUGAGUACUGCAGGGGAGACUGGAAUUCCUGGUGUAGCGGUGAAAUGCGCAGAUAUCAGGAGGAACACCGGUGGCGAAGGCGGGUCUCUGGGCAGUAACUGACGCUGAGGAGCGAAAGCGUGGGUAGCGAACAGGAUUAGAUACCCUGGUAGUCCACGCCGUAAACGGUGGGCGCUAGGUGUGGGUUUCCUUCCACGGGAUCCGUGCCGUAGCUAACGCAUUAAGCGCCCCGCCCUGGGGAGUACGGCCGCAAGGCUAAAACUCAAAGGAAUUGACGGGGGCCCG